GAUGAACGCUGGCGGCGUGCCUAAUACAUGCAAGUAGAGCGCAGCGGGGACGGGUGAGUAACACGUAGAUAACCUCCUAUAAGACUGGGAUCACUUCGGGAAACCGGCGCUAAACCUGAUACUUAUCGAUGUAUCCGCGCUGAAUUAGCUAGUUGGUAAGUUCACGGCUUACCAAGGCCACGAUGCAUAGCCGACCUGAGAGGGUGAUCGGCCACACUGGAACUGAGACACGGUCCAGACUCCUACGGGAGGCAGCAGUAGGGAAUCUUCCGCAAUGGGCGAAAGCCUGACGGAGCAAUGCCGCGUGAGUGAUGAAGGUCUUCGGAUCGUAAAACUCUGUUAUUAGGGAAGCGGUACCUAAUCAGAAAGCCACGGCUAACUACGUGCCAGCAGCCGCGGUAAUAC
rnacentral:rRNA from 1 species